rnacentral:rRNA from 1 species
GUUUAUGGUCAUGCUACCCCGAACAAGCCCGAUCCAAUCUGAUCUCAGAAGCUAAGCAGGGUUGGACCUGGUUAGUACUUGGAUGAGAGACCACCUAGGAAGACCAGGUGCUGUAGGCA